rnacentral:rRNA from 1 species
AUUGAACGCUGGCGGUAGGCCUAACACAUGCAAGUCGAACGGCAGCAGGGUAAUUGCUUGCUGUUACGGGGGCCGAGUGGCGGGCGAGUGAGGGAUACAUGGGUGUCUACGUUGGCUAGGGGGAGGACGUAGGGGCACUUACGCUAAUACCGCAUACGACCUAAGGGUGGGAGCAGCGGAUCUUCCGCCCUUGCGCGAUUGCAUGCCGCUAUGUCGGAUUAGCUAGUUGGCGGGGUAAAGGCCUACCAAGGCGACGAUCCGUAACUGGUCUGAGAGGAUGAUCAGUCACACUGGAACUGAGACACGGUCCAGACUCCUACGGGAGGCAGCAGUGGGGAAUAUUGGACAAUGGGCGCAAGCCUGAUCCAGCCAUGCCGCGUGUGUGAAGAAGGUCUUCGGAUUGUAAAGCACUUUAGGUGGGGAGGAAGGGCAGUAGGUUAAUACCUUGCUGUUUUGACGUUACCAACAGAAUAAGCACCGGCUAACUUCGUG